UUUUUUUUUAAAGUGUAAGAUAAUUCAGUAGAGACAUUGAAUCAUUCUUCAAUCUGCACACAAACCACUCCUGUCUCUGUUCCCAUUGCUUUUUCAAGCAGCAGUCAAGUGAAAUUAAGAUUCUGGCAGCUCUGUAACACUUGCUCAUCAUCUGUGGGGGCAGAGACAUGAACUGGAGUCACAGCAAUUUCCCUCUGCUGCUGUUGUCAUUUCGGGAAGCACCUCAGGCACAGACACAGGGAGUAUUUACAGCAGAGAUUCACAUUCCUCUUUGCUCCAUGCCAUCCAUGACGAUUUGCUAUACACAAGGAAUAAAGAGUAAGAUGGUAAUGAAGGAGACCCAAGGUACAAAUAUGUGAACUGCACCACUAUAAAUCAUUGGACAAAAUGGAGUCUUUUGCAGAUUCCAAAUCUUAAAUUUGCCAUCACAUUCUUUUCCUCAAAUUUCCUGCACAACAUCAGUGACAAGUGAUACACCUUCCUUGCACCGUAAUUCUUAUUUUGAGCACUGCACACAGAACUAAGUUAAAUGGAAAAUUCUUCAGAGCCCCUGAGAGCUGCCUAUCCCAGCAUGGCCAGCUGGGCUUUGCCAAGGUCAUUUCCUUAAAGGAUCUGUCACAGAUAAUGCAGAGUGUGCUCAUUGCCAGGGAAAUUGCAUGCUCAGCUGCUUCACAGCUUCAUGACUUAGGAGAUCUUGGGACAAAUCCUUCAGGCAAUCCCAGGCUCCGAGCAAUCAGCAGACCUCUUCAUGUGGUUUGGCAAACUGUGAGUUCACAUUGCUCUGCUCUCUUUGAAGACAAUGACUUUAACUGAAAUGAGGUCUGUCCUGGGAAAAAGGAAAGCAAAUGUCUAACAUCUUUUAAAAAUGCACAUGGAAAAGAAAAAAUACUGAAAAGAGAAUAAAAGUUCCUCAUUAAGUUCCCCGUAACUACUCAGAUAUUCAGAACUGUAUAAUUGAUUUGGGCCUGUUGGUGGCCGUGGUGAGGGGGACACGAGUAAGGAAUGUGAAUUAUACAUUCAUACUCAAGUAAAUCCUUCCCA